rnacentral:rRNA from 1 species
GCGUGCUAUACAUGCAGUCGAGCGGACUUAAAAAGCUUGCCUUUUAAGUUAGCGGCGGACGGGUGAGUAACACGUGGGCAACCUGCCUGUAAGACUGGGAUAACUUCGGGAAACCGGAGCUAAUACCGGAUAAUCCUUUUCUACUCAUGUAGAAAAGCUGAAAGACGGUUUACGCUGUCACUUACAGAUGGGCCCGCGGCGCAUUAGCUAGUUGGUGAGGUAACGGCUCACCAAGGCGACGAUGCGUAGCCGACCUGAGAGGGUGAUCGGCCACACUGGGACUGAGACACGGCCCAGACUCCUACGGGAGGCAGCAGUAGGGAAUCUUCCGCAAUGGACGAAAGUCUGACGGAGCAACGCCGCGUGAGUGAUGAAGGUUUUCGGAUCGUAAAACUCUGUUGUUAGGGAAGAACAAGUACGAGAGUAACUGCUCGUACCUUGACGGUACCUAACCAGAAAGCCACGGCUAACUACGUGCCAAGCAGCCGCGGUAAUACGUAGGUGGCAAGCGUUGUCCGGAAUUAUUGGGC